GCUAUCCCGCAGCCGCACACGGUGACAGGAUUCGCAGGCAGGAACGCGACCCACUGCACCGGGGGCCGUCGGCCCGACCGCAGGGCGAGGUCGGCGUGCAGUCGGAAGACUCGGAAUUGGGCACGCGGCGGUGGUGCUGACUCAGCACGACCUCCCUGCGGUCGCCGGGCAGCCGCAGCAGCCACCAGCAACCGCCGCAGGGCAACCGGCCUCCCCCGCCCCCGGCCCCACCCGGCCGCACCCGAGGGCGCGCGGCGUCACAGAGCGCAUGCGUGCCGCGGGGGAUGCCGGGAGCGCGCAGUGGCGGCAGCGGCGGCGACGGCAGUAAUAUCGGCGGCAACAGCGGGGACGCGAGCGGGGCGGUGACCGUGUGGGAGGUGGUCUCACUCUUGGGGAAGCUGCUGGGCACCGUCGCCGCGCUGAAGGUGGUUCUGUACCUGCUCCGGGUGUGCUUAGCGAUGGCCUGGAAAUCCGGCGGCGCCAGCCACUCGGAGCUAAUCCACAAUCUCCGCAAAAAUGGAAUCAUCAAGACAGAUAAAGUAUUUGAAGUAAUGCUGGCUACAGACCGCUCGCACUAUGCAAAAUGUAACCCAUAUAUGGAUUCCCCACAAUCAAUAGGUUUCCAAGCAACAAUCAGUGCUCCACACAUGCAUGCAUAUGCAUUAGAACUUUUAUUUGAACAAUUACAUGAAGGAGCUAAAGCUCUUGACGUAGGAUCUGGAAGUGGAAUCCUUACUGCAUGUUUUGCACGUAUGGUUGGAUGUACUGGAAAAGUCAUAGGAAUUGAUCACAUUAAAGAACUAGUAGAUGACUCAAUAAAUAAUGUCAGAAAGGAUGAUCCAACACUUUUGUCUUCAGGGAGAGUGCAACUGGUUGUGGGGGAUGGAAGAAUGGGAUAUGCUGCAGAAGCCCCUUACGAUGCAAUUCAUGUCGGAGCUGCAGCCCCAGUUGUGCCACAGGCACUAAUAGACCAGUUAAAGCCUGGUGGAAGAUUGAUAUUGCCAGUUGGUCCUGCAGGUGGAAAUCAAAUGUUGGAGCAGUAUGACAAGCUACCAGAUGGCAGCGUCAAAAUGAAACCUCUGAUGGGGGUGAUAUAUGUGCCUUUAACAGAUAAAGAGAAGCAGUGGUCCAGUUGCUGGCACAGUGCUCCCCCUGGCUGAGCGAAUGGCUUCUUUUGGAGCUGAUAAAGCUGCCUUAUGAAGUCAGCUGACAGGGAUGAACUGUAAAAGCAACAUCAGCUUGACCAGUCUAUAAUACUGCAGUGGAUUGCUCAUCUCAGUCCUUACAGCUUUUUGAAAACCAAUAGCAUCACAGCUUGUUUUGGACUUUGUUACACUGUUAUUUUCAGCAUGAAAUUUGUGGUUUUGUAGGGUUUUCUAAUUCUUCAAAGAGGCACAGAGCCAAAUGGUAGAGGAAGGAUACAAAGUAUAAAUCUGUGUGUUAUACUUUAACAUGCCCACAUUUUACUUUAAAAUAUUAAAAGAAGGGUUUCUGCAAAAUGAAAAAGUUAGUUUGUGAAUUGAUUUUGAGGAGUGAAUUUUCUUUUCUUGGACACUUAAUUCUGUUCUGAUAUUAAUUUAUGAGAUUUCUUUUGUGCAUCAGAUAACACCACCAUUCACAAGUUAAGAUUCUUGGUAUUUGGAUGUCUGUUAGAGACUACUAAGAAAAUAGAGAUGAGCUUUCUUUUUAAAGCUUUCGAUGUGGUAUCAUAGAAUAGCAUGUUGUAGAUACAAUCAGCUGCUUUGUUACCUUAAAACUAGGCAUUUGUAAAUACUGAAACUUAAGAAGAUGGCAGGUAAUGUCCUAUAAACACUCAGUUGUUUAGAUUGGACAUAACUGACAUAGUUCUUUCUCUCUCUCUCUCUCUCUCUCUCUCUCUCUCUCUCUCUCAAACUUGAUAGGAGGCUUGUAGCUUAGUAUUGUUUUUCUGUUUCUAGUUGGCUGCUGAUAAUGUAUAUGAAUCUAACAUGCUGUGUUAGCUGUGUGCUGGUUUCUGCACAGCUUAUGCAGUGCUGCUUUGCCAAAUAAAGUUAAAAGCAAAAGAGGUAUUGGUGGUGUUUGAAUCUAGAAGGGAGAACAUGAGGUACACAAGAUACAGAAUGCUAACUGAGACCACAAAGGUAAAUUGCUUCUCUAAUCCUGUUUUGUGAAAUCUGAGUAGGUAAAUAGUAUUAAUUCAUUUGUACAUUGUGUCUAUGGCUACAUUUCUGUAGGUCAGGAACAUUCACCAUUUCUCUCUGCUGGUCUAACACAGGGCUCAUCUUAUAGUAGUUAGAAAAUAAAUGCCAAGUGGGUGAGUGGGUGAAUGAAUUGACUUAAUGUCAAGGAAAGAAUGCAGUUGAGGAUAAGCAUACCAAACCCACCUCUCAUCUAUAAAUAGAUUUAUUAAUACAGUGCCUAUAAAAUGUGUUUCUAAGAAAGUGGAGGCACUUUGGGGUCUUGUUUAAAUGUUGUGAUUUUAUACUUUUUAUAAAGUUUAGUUUUCUUAGGGUUCUAGAAUUUGAGAAAUUACUACAAGCUCUAGAAUGAGCAGAACCAGAAUGUCCAGCAGAGCCCUCCUACUGUGUGCAAGUGUGCAGAAUUCUGCUAAGGAAAUCCUGUGUGAGCAUGUGACUCAGCCUUCCCUACUCUUAAAAUGUUUAUUACUUCUUUAAAAAUGACUUUUUAAAAUUAUGCAUACAUCAUUUCACAAGUGUCUUCUCUUGGGUAAUGCUUUAGACACAGGAAUCUAGCAUUAUUUGGUGCCCAAAAAUCUGAUUUUAUCAUUGCCUUCAGUUUAUUAUUGUUUAUCACUUCUGAACCCUUGGCUAUGAAAACCCUCGUGUCCAGGACUCAGUGUCACUUGAGGUGUUUGCAAAGGUCUUUGUUGCUAAAGACUUAAUUUAACUUAAAGUUACCUGCUAGUCUAGGUUUUCAUAUCCAUUUCCUACAUUUUAUUAUAUAUAAAUCUCUGUGUUAGGUUUUGAGGAUAGAAAAAGAAGACCCUUACUCUCAAGAAGUCUGCAGUCUAGUUGCAGAGACAGUUUAUAAGUAUGGUAAGACAAACUGCCACCCACUUGGUACAGACCAGUGCUUCAAGCAUUGUUCAAGCAUUGCUCUUGGACUUUGCACUUUUAAGAAUUAAAAUUUCACGAUGUUGAAUAAACAGGAUGAAUUUUAAGGAAGUAUUACUAAAUAGGUAGACAUAGAUAUAAUGCAUUUUAACUACGUCUUAGAGCUUUGUUCUUUAAGAGAGCAGAAUUUAUAUGUGUGGGCUCUCAAUAAGAAAUGUCUUGUUAAUCUUUAGUCAGAAUUUGGCAUUUUAUUUUUCCUUAAUAGAAAUGAUUCCUUUAUAUAUUAUGGAGGGCAACAGUGAAAAAAUUUCAGAAAGUUCCAGUCUAGUGAGAUAUAUUGAAACAAGACUUUUCCUAUUUUUGUAUUUUUUUCUUACCUCAUUAAAGACAACAUCUAGCUGUUAAAACUUACGUAGUAAUCAGCUGUGGCGCACGCUUGCAAUCCUGGUGACUCGGGAGGCUGAGGCAGGAGGAUCACAAGUUUAGUGCCAGCCUCAGCAACUUAACAAGGCCCUACCUAGCUUAGUGAGAUGCUGUUUCUAAAUAAAAAUAGCAAAAGUGUUGGGGAUGUGGCUCCAUGGUAAAGCACUCCUGGGUUUCAAUCCCCCAGUUCAAGUUUCUAUUGAGGGUAAAGUUUUAACUCUUUUCCCGCAAGAAAAUGACAUGUGAAGGGAAAUAACUUAUUACCAUUGUUCAUGCAAAUAUUUAAACCAUUGCCCUAAUUUUAAAAACUGCCUUUGUUGAAAAUUUUUUAAAAAUGCAAUUAAACUUUUUAAAUUCGCUACAGUGUACCUAUACUAAAGCAUCUUAAAAAUGCAAUGAAUUCUAAAAUAGGAUUUUUUUUUUAUAAUAAAUGAAUUGUCAUGAAUUCUCCAAAGCUAUUCUUGGUAUGUGAUUAUUAGCCAGGAAAUAACUCCGUUUUUUGUCUUAUUAGAAAGGUAAGCAUAUUUGGUUUUCAACUAAAUAUUAACAAAUUUUCCAGUAGUUUGGCAUGCCACUCAAAGAACUCAUGUGAGUAUGGUAAUUGAAUACUAGUAUUAUAAAUGAAUAAUAAACAUGGGAGUAUUUGUAAAAAAAAAAAGAAAAGAAAAAGUUCUAAGUAUGGUUCAGUGGACCAAUAACUUAUUUUAGGUAAGUG